rnacentral:pre_miRNA from 1 species
AGAAGAAUAGCUGGGUCAAAUGGUGGUUCCAUUCCCUGUUUUCCAAGUGAUCUUCAUAUUGCUUUCCAUAUUGGCUGCACCAAUUUGCAGUCCCACCAGCAGU